rnacentral:lncRNA from 1 species
GCCCGUGCCACGCCGGGCGGGUGCGGACCGCAGACGGCGGCUCCGGGGACCCAGGGCACCCGCUCUGGGGGCGACGCCUGAAAGAGCCGGACUGGGCGAGCGCAGCUUCUUCCCCAGCGCCAGCGACGGACACCAUCGCGGGGCUGGCCGGGGAGCCGCCCGAUUGCGCCGCGCGGGCAGGGCCGCCUGGGCUUCCCCCGGUAUCUCGCCGCGCGCCCCCCUCGCCCCCUCCUUCCUUCUUGGUCGGCGCCUGUGCUGUGGGACCCAAGGGGAGAAAUGAACUGUCUUGGGGACAUGUCGUCUGAAGGAGACUAAAUUAACAGAUGAGCUCAUCUAAGGACAGAGAUGUUGAAGUGCUCAAGUUCCACAAGCUGGUGGGAUCCAAAGAAACCCCCUCCCCCAGGACUCUGAAGGUGGUGAGCAACCAGGUGCUGGCGUCCCCAGAGCCCCUUGAGCUUGCUGCUUUCUCACUGGGCCUGGAGUUUGGUAAGUCUGGAGACACCUGGAGAAGGUGUUCCUGCAAAAAUGCUUCAUCUUCAAAGAGAUUCAUGGGAAAGAUCCUGACAAGUACUUUAAAAUGCGGGUUUCUGAUACUUUUAAGAUAGUGACACCGAACUGGAAAAAACAUCACAACAGAUUAUGAAUGGGCAAGCUUCAUACCUGAUGCUGUAUGGGCCACUCAAGAAAGUUCAACAAAACACCUGAUGACAGCAUCAAAGACAGUCAAACUGCAAACCAGGAAAGUCCAUCAGACUAAAACUGCCAUCCUCAUUGCACCAUCUGAAGAUGCUUCCAACCCAAAUCUAGAAAUGGUCUCAACUGGCUGCUCUCCAAACUCAAAAAAUGAAUUUAUAAUUUGCUCCAACUAUUAACCUUUGUUUUUUCUCUUGUGUCCACAGAAGUGCCUUUAAUUAAAUUACCUG